GCUAGCGAUCCCUGCCCGCUCCCUCUGCGUCGCUCGGGCAGGAGCGGGCUCAGUCCCCUCCCGUUUUAAUAUCUGCGUCUGGCUGAAAUCCCUCAGGAUUCCGACACGGUUUUUUUCUAAACAUCAACAUUUCUUAAACAAAAAACCCCACUUCAAUGGCACAGGUUUAAAUCUGCAUUUAUAUCAUAAGAACUAUAUGAGGGUAGAUGGAGUUUUCAUGCCAUUCGUUACCCAGGUUUGUGAUGCACCCAGCACGAGGUCAUCUCAGUCUGCUGCUGGACUCCCUUGGCACUACAGAAACAUUGGUGGCAACCCAACAACACCCACAGCCUCAGCUCAAGGCCAUGUUACUACUGAGCAGACAUCAGCACAGACCAUCUGGAACAACACUGGCCACUUCUGCCUCCCUGCUGCAUCAUGUUCUUCUCACAGAACAGUGUUUGAGGCAUUAACACCCAUGAAUUAUAAAACAAUACCAAAAAAAAUCAUGUUCUGCAGGCUUAGCUUUGCUGCAGUGUCCCCAAUACAGAAAAGCCUCCAUUCAAGGUCUUGUAAUAAUGAGCCAGGCAGAAGGAUGGGUCAGAGCUGCCAUGUUAAUGCAAAGCAAAGUGUCAUUUUCUCUUCACUAGCAGCAUUCCUAUCCUCAUUCACAUUGCUUUUCAAUAACACUCCAUGAAAGGAUGUUGAUGUCUUGUUUAAGCAAUGAUGAAAAGUUCGGAGGUUAAUUAAGAAGAAGUAGAACACAGUCACUUUACUGAGGAAAAAGUCCAAGAAAAAAAACAAACAAAAAAUUUUUAAAGCUACAAAGUAUCAUUAGAUUGCCUUUUCCAGUGGAAAAUAGUACUAAUUUUAACACUACUUAGACACUACAGACUGUCCUUUGGCCAGGGAGAACCACAAGUCCUCUGACCUGUAUUUUAUAAAGCUUUAAUACAUGUUUGUGCUUUCUGUCAGUCAGGAAAAAAAUUAUGUGGCCUACAUCAAAAGCCAGCAGUCUGUUAUAUUCACACAUACUCUGUACCUUACAGAGGCAGAUACCUACUUUAGCAAUGUCAGAACAGCUUGUCAAUUAAAUCUGGCCAUAUAUCUUCUUUCGACUUGUGACAUGUUGAUUGACAGCCUAUCUGGAGGCCUGGCCCAGACAUCUGGGGGAUUUUGCCAGCAAGGUCAGGAGAGCUUCUUCUGCAAUGCAAUUUCCAUCAUGGAGCCCUGGGACACAUGUUAACAGACCUCACCGGUGCUCUGUGCUGUGGGACUCUCCUGCAAACAGCACAUCUCUGGCUUUGGCUUCUUGCUCUGCUCUUCCUGCUUUACCUCCAAAAUCCUCCUCUGCUCAGACCUUCUUAUAUAUAUCCUGACAGUUCUGUGAAGUCCCUCUUAAAUGGUUUUUGACCAGACUCUGCUCCCCACUGAGAUCAGUUUUUUGGAGGGCAACAACACUUUAGGGUGCUGAGAGCCCUGGGUUUGAACUCUGGAUAAAUUCUGGUGUCCUUCCCCUUUCAGUUCUGUGAAUCUCUCUGAGGCAAGGAUUACUUAGCAUUAACAGAGAGCAACAAAAAGCAUUCAGACAUUUUAUGGGAAAGAGCUUCAGACAGCAUUCUUAAGGAAAAUGUUACCAGGAAAGGGACAGAAAUCAUUCAUGAAGAUGGGAGGCAGAGAGGAGAUUAAAACAGAAGAUGUGAGAUAACUGUUGUGGAAAGCUAACAUAUGGAAAGCUAACAAAGCUAAAAUAGUAAAGUAUUUAACCAAAUUGCCUGGAAGGGCUGUGCAAGUCCUACCAGCUGAUCAAGAGGCUCUCAGGACCAGUUCAGGCAAAUCUGAUGCAGGAAAAUGGAGAACAGUCUCCUGAUGGCCUUCCUAAUCUUGUUUUAAAUUUAAUUUCUUCUGUUCCUUAUCUGACCUAUAUCUUCUUGCAUUUAAGAUUUUUAUGAAGUCCAAAAGGUGAGGAAAAACAGCCAUUAGCCUAAAGCCAUUACUGCACUCAUACAGCUGCUUCCCCCAUAUAAUGGGAUUUUGCAGCCUGAGUUUACAAAGUCACCUUUUUCUUCAGUAAGCAAACAACCUUUAAGAUAUGUUUGAGCCACAGGUCUGCAUUCAGAGCUAGACACUUACCAAAUUACAUGUCCAGGUGUUUUUCCCAGACCACUUGCUUACAAAGCCCAGUUGGCAACCAUGGAACCUGUUUUGAAACAUCAGCAAAAACCCAGGGAUAUUUUGGAGCUAGUGUUGCAACAUCAGGGCUUUUUCUUGCUAUAAACAAUUAAUGUAUUGGAAAUACAGUGUCCAUGAAGUUAAUGUGGCCUUUAGCAGAGCUAAGCACAGCCUAAGACAGCUGCCAGUGCUGCCCAGCUUCCCUGCUAAUUCCCUAAUAGGAAAACCCUGCGUUUCUCAGGCAAAGAUAUUUCAAUGCAUCAAAUCCAGACAAAUCAUAACCUGCCUUCUCAGCAAAGCUACAACCAAAGGAACGUUUCACACCCUUGAUCAGUCCUCCCUGCUUGAAGCCUGAAGGAAGAACAUCAAUUAAAUCCUUACUAUGAAACAUUUUGCCUUUGCAGCUAUUCUCACAUAUGGCAGUUUCCACUAAGCUUGAAAGUUAAGUGGAUUCUCUUGGAAGAGGAAGGAUUCACUACUGGAAAUUUGAGACCAAGUCCCAGGAGGAACAUCAUUCUCUUAACUUUACUCUCCCCUGGACUAAUGAAUGUGAGGAACGAAAGCUCCACUUGGACUGGAAGGAUUAUGCUUGUGCAUGUCAAAGUCAUGUGAAAUAAGCAACGUAAUUUGUGGAGCAAUCAUGGGAAUUUAAUUAUUUCUCAGGAUACAAUUUUAAUGACUCCUCUCCUCUCCAUAGAUCUUAAGCAGCUACUGGUGUCGUGUUGCAUUAGAAGCUCAAGUUGCAGCAGGCAGAAUGGCAGCAUGACAAGAGAAAAAAAUAAACCUCUGAAUGGUUUUCCCAAGAAUAAA